AGUCACAAGACGGCGAAGAGGAGAGCGUGGUGCUCAUCUCCGGCUGGUAUUUCAACAUUCAAGAAGUGAAUUCGCCAAUUUAUUGCUCUUUUCCUUUGCCAAGUCUUUGUAGCAGAUAGUAGGCAUUGAAUUUUUGCCUCGAAAUGUAGCGAUAAACUUCAAAUUCCAUCGGUCAUUCAAUUCCGAGUUGGACAUUGCGGAGUUUGGUUUCACAUCUCGGACACAACUGAGAGAAACCAGUUGAAGGGAACCGAACCACUGAUUGUACCUGCCUCCAGGUAAGAGGUGUACUAUUUCCGACGCCUUCUUAAUAUAUUCAAGCUAUUUUUGCUUGUAUUAAGCAUUGAGCCGCGUGUAUUUUGCGUUUGUUUGUUGUUUCGUAUUGCGUUGAGAUCAGUUUCUUCGGACCGAACCCGUUAGCUCGUCCACAACACAAACACAGUGCUUGGUGUACUUUUUUUAUCACUUGUAGAGGAGAUAGAAGGACUGGUGUAUCCUGUAAUUUUGGAUUCUUCUUUGUUCAUUGAGCGAAUUGCACUGAACUGUUAUUUGACACCCGAUAUAUUAAUUUUAUCAAUUAGUUACGUCGGGUAAACAGGGGACGCCCACAUGGACCGCUUUGGAUCUAGGAAAAUCUUUGGCAAAGUUUUUUUGUCGGAACAUUACAGAAUAUUGCGGGCCCUGCUGAUUGACAAAUCAACUUAAGUGAAUUUUUAACCUGAGCUGAAUUCCUCAUGUAAAUAUAUCAAAUUUACUUUUAACUCUAGUUUAUUAUAAUAAACAAGUCUCCAUUUAUCCUUUAGUUAUAUAUCCUUAUUAAAAAAAACAUUAAAGUUUCUACAAUGACAAAUAACAUGAAAAAUAAAAAGUAUAAUCUUCAAGCCAGUAAAAAGAUAACUGUAAGUAUAUGUUCAAGGCUUAUUAUUAUAACUACAUGCUCUAAGUAACUGCCUACUGUAGCUUGUUUGCCGUGUAGUCCUCCCACGCACUAAAAAACUUCCAUUGUACUUUGUGGUACUUUUUUCUUUGGAGCUGCUUGAGUUCGCUUUGCACUUACAAGAUGGAUUUGUAGUUGACAGAGCUCUGCUUCUUUGUCGAGGUGCUUGAAGAGUACAUAGAAUGGUGAAUGGUAUCAUCCAUUAGCACAAUUAUCAAGGCAUUAUGGUAGCCCUCCAGGUCAUUGUUGGUCCUGAGUCAUUUUUAUUCUAGUGUGACCUUAAGUUAAUUUUGUACUUGGGGCAACCAAACAGUUCCAUGUUCACAAAGGGGAUACCGAGCCCCGUUAGGAGUUUGCGUUCGCAGUUACCACCCUUGUAGGCCACGAUCCCUCCUUGACCAUAGAUGUCGUACCAACCCUUGACGACACGCCCAAGCUUUACAUGGGGGAUGCUCGAUCCUGGUGCAAGAUCAAAAUUCAUUCCUGUGACAAACUGGGUGACAAAGCGUGCUGACUUCCUAUCUUUGGAGGAGAGCUCACUGUAUCUCAUUGGGAAGGUGAAAUGCCUUAAUGCUUUAUUCUAGUGUGACCUUAAGUUAAUUAAAAGUUGCAUUUUUUGUGACAACUGCAAAAUCAGAUGCACUUAUUCUUUAUCAUUUUUAGUCAUUAUGUCCUUUUUAUUUGCAAAGUUACAAUCUCUGAAAAUAUUAUACAGCAUUUUUCUCUGCUGUGAUUUUCUCAUGCAGGAUUCUCAUCCAGGAUUCAGGUUUUCUUGCCAAAGUGAUUCUUUUCAUGGGCACAUGUGUUUUCCAUAAUAUGACCCCAGCCUGAUAGUCAAUCAAUCAAGUUUAUUUAUUUUUUAGUUUUUCCUGAGCCUUCAAAUUCUUAUUUUGUGCAAAUAGUAUCUUUUUAAAGCUUUACUGUGGCUUGUCCGUGUAUACUUAGGGUUUUCUUGUUUUCCCUUUUCUGCAUACAGUAGAGUGCAUUUAUUCUGAUUAAACGUGUUUUUUUCCAUUUGGAAAUUGCGACACAGAGUAGGAAAGUGAUAAAAAUAGUUGUCUUAAUCUUGUAUUUAUCUAAUAGCUGAGAUGUCGGCAUUGAGAUGUUAUUUUCAUAGACUCGAAUUAAAUAGGAUGAAGAUGGCUAUAGAGGAUUGAUGCUUGCAAUGUAAGAAGCUCAGUAAAAUGCUGCCAUCUUGAUAGACUCAUCAGCACAAUCUCUAACACAAUGCUUGAAUGAUUUUGGACCAAAAAAUUCUUGGCCUACAUCAGUUUCUCAGCUGGGAAGAAAUCAUCAAACAGCUUUCAAAGGCUUGUUAUGGCAUCCUCCCCGUUUUGCCCAGAAUAAAUAAUUUUUGCUGAUUUUAAACUGAGGAAGCACAACAAAAAUGUUCCUCACUAGCCUACAAUCUGUAUAAAAAAGAUGAAAAAUAAUAUUCAAAUCAAACUUGAUGUGAUUUCUCAGGCAUGUAACCUUUAGCACUAGGCAGCACUUGGCCGACAAUCUGUCUCUACCACCACGUUUAGCUUCUUGGGAGAACAUACAUGAUCACAUGCCUAAUUAACUCCCAUUCUGAAUGCUGUUGUUGCUAGCUCCAUCUAGGUUAAUUUUCUUUUAAAUCCCUAAACACUUUCUCCUUGCAACUGUCCGUCGUGAGGGAGUAAUAGAUCCCAAUGUUUGUGGAGUAGCAGGCUCUUUUUUUUGAUUUCCUUUACAAGCCACAUCAGCUUUUCGAUCAAGUCCUUUUUCUUCAUCUUGCAGACAUCAAACUUCAGAUUCACUCGAUUUGGACUUAAAAAAAGGACCUCAGCAAUUUUUUUUGGAGGGCGAUUGCAUCUGCUGUACCAGUGAUUGCAAGUAUGGUAAUUUGUGAAAGUAGAGCAAGGCAACAUUAUUCUAUACAAUUUAGUUUUAGCAAUGUAUCACUUUAAAACUCUAGUUCAUUGACAGCACAGUUCUGUUCCUUCUGUUUUACACAACAGAAUGUUGGGGGUAUGAUUUUUUGCAAACGUUAUGUCAGCUAACCUUCCAUAUGCUUUCCUAUGCAGCGAUCUGUAAAAUAAAACUAUUCACUCAGGCUAUACUAUAAACCCAUAGACCAGGGUUGUGGGGUUAAAACGUUAAAUCUUACAGCAAGGAAUUUGUAGCUGGGGGGCUCCUCUGCUUGUGGAUGUGUUUGCAUUUUAGUUCACCACAAUUGCUUGGACAACACUUAUCAAUCAAUAUAUGAAAUAGUAGGAAAAUUGCAGCAAAUGAGUUUGAACCUUGGUCUGUGUUAGUAGGAUAUUUUCCCUAUAGUUGGCCAACUAAGUGUUAAAGUCAGGCAACAUAAAAUGUUUAUGAGUAUUUGGGUGUUGCUAUCAGAUGCCUUAGAGGCAGAUAACAAUCUGCAGGAGCCAUGAGCACAAUUAAAUUACAUUAUAUAUGUUAAUAUAUGAUAUUUAUACUUUUGAAGCUUAAUAGAUCUAUAUUAGAAAAAUUAACUUAACCCUUUCACUACUGAAGCCCAAUGUGUGUCACAUCCUGCUGUUCCUGGAGCCUAAUUAGCAUUCCCCACUAAUUUACACACCAAAACAAAACAUGCAUGCUCAGUAGGUUUUGGAGGCAGAUUGUAAAGAAUAAAGCACAGAAACAAGUAGUGCAGAUAAUGAAGUUUUUAAUGAACCGAAAUAUUUGCGUUUUUGCCACUAUUGCUUAGAGCUAUAAUGAUUUGAAUUUACAAUUUCAUACAAAAAUUCAAAUUUCGCGCCAUCUAAUCUACCAAUGAUCUCAAAUUUUGCAUCAUUUACAAAAUUAUUGUUUAUCUUAGACACAAAAUAUAAAUAGAACAUAUAGUAAAGGUAGUUGUAAGCAUAUAGUCAUAAGAAAUAGUGUAAACAUAAAGUCUGUACUAUGAUAGUUUAUGCCUUGCCAUGGUCCAUUUCUUGGAAUGCCUGGUGGCAACCUUUACGGCAGAGACCGACUUUGCAGACCGCACACUCAUAGUACGUCUCGAUCUUGUAGCCUUUCGGGGUCGUUUUUCCCUUUUUGCUGCAAAGAACACAUGCCCUCUUCCUUCCUUCUACAUGAGUGGCGACAUGAGCUGAGGCUGGGAUGUUCUGGGGAGUUGGGGGAGCAGGGACUCGUGGGCGCUCUCUCGAGUUGAACUUAGCAAUAAGUGAUUGCACUAGUUCUGUCUUGAAAACGAUAACAGUCCUCUUCGCCUUUCCUUGUAAUUGGCGCUUAAAUCCUUCAAGGACGAAUGCGUUGGUCACUGCCAGAUUGAACAAAAACCAAAACAUGUAUUUAUACCAUUUACGCGAUUGCCAGCCCGAGGAAUAAAACGAUCAGAGCUGGGCCGGGCGGUCAACUCCUCCCAUGUGCGCCGUGUCUCCUUCGGCUUUUCGAUGUCCAUUUCUUCGCGGCUGCGAUACUUCUCACUGUGCGACCCGGCUCAAGAGGGGAAACAUUUGUCGAAAGAAGACUGACAUCCCUCUUGUCGUGCCAUUUUGUGAAGAGGAGCUGGCCUCGCUGACGCUGAAGCAUUUCACCGGGCUUCAACUUCUCUUUGGCACAUGGCGGCAAUUCCCUGCGAUUCACGCGCAGAGUCCCGCAUGCAUAGGUUUUUUGAUCCAGCAAGUAGUCAAAAAGCCGAACAGUUGUAAAAAAGGUAUCACAGAAGAUGUGUCUGUAACUGUUAAGGAAAGGCUUAGCCAUAUCCAUAACCACAUCGUAGCAGAGUCCAUGGACACGCUGUCUGUUUUCUUGCCCAAGGUAAACUUUGUAGUUGCACACGUAGCCGUUGUUCGCGUCGGCCGCCAUCCACACUUUUAUGCCGUAUUUCGUCGGCUUUGCAGGCAUAUAUUGGCGAAAGCCAAGUCUUCCCUUGAAGGCAAUCAAUCCCUCAUCGACUGAUAUGUCCUUUGAGGGCUCGUAAGUUUGCUGGAUACUUUUUAAGACAUCGCUCAGUACCGGGCGAACUUUAAAGAGACGGUCGUAAUCGGCGUCCCCACGUUGUGGCUCGUUGUUCGAAUCGCUGAAGUGCAGGAAUUGGGCGAUCUCUUCAAACCUUGUCUUGGGAAUCACGUCCUGAAUCCCAAGGUUUCCAAAUAGGGGGUUUUGAGACCAAUAAAGGGCUUGCUGUGGCAAGGAAUUAAUCCCCAUCACGAGCGCUACCCCAAGGAACAUGCGGAGUUCGUCGGGAGUGACGUCCUUCCACUUCGCCAGCCGUGCCUCUCUAUCGGCCUUCUGCCCGAUAAUAAAUUGUGCAUAUCGGUUAGUUUCGUCAGAAAUUAAACCAAUAAGUUCAUCCGAAAACAUCAAGCUAAAAUAGUCUUCAGCUUUUGCAUCUUCUGAUACCGUUUUCUUCAACCGUUGUUGCCCGGUGAAGUCCUCGAGGUCGAAAUGCGUGAGUUGCUCCGACCAAUUUUUAACACUAUCUUCAUCGCUCUCGUCGAAUUGUUUACAUCAUCAUUCUCGUCAGGAUUAACACCAAAAAUCGCUCUAAAUUCGCUCGCAUCGAUCGCUAAAGAUUCCGCCAUGUUGGCAGUACAGGGGUGACUGAUAAGUUUUCGGUCGGCGCUCACGCACCUUAUACAAUGAAAAAUUAUGCGCGGUUGGUUGGAUUUGAUUGGCUAAUGUCGUAAGAACAAUAGUCCACGUGUUUUCCUGCAGCAUGAAUUCCCUAGGGAGCAGUUGGACGAUUGUUUUGAGUUGUAUGCAAAUUGGCCGCUUUUUGUCGCUCCAGGUAAAACGUCACAUUUCCGUUUGGCCGCUUUUGGCCGUUUUAAUAGUGAAAGGGUCAAAUAGAAAUAAUGAUGAAAUGAUAAUGUGAAGAAUAAUAAAUUUAUUUUGAAAACUCAAAAAUAGUGCAUCCUUGAAUAUAAAAAGAUUUCUGAGUAGCCUUGUUCCAGGUGGCAGGUCAUACAAAUGGUUGUUUCUCAUCUAAAUAGGUGGCUCAUAUUGUGUGUAGCCUUGUUUCAGGUGGCAGGUCAUACAAAUGGUUGUUUCUCAUCUAAAUAGGUGGCUCAUAUUGUGUGUAGCCUUGUUCCAGGUGGCAGGUCAUACAAAUGGUUGUUUCUCAUCUAAAUAGGUGGCUCACCUUAUGACCAGUGUUGUGGCAUUGUUACGUUUGCUUGGCUUUCCGCUUUUCAAAUCUUUCUGAGUUUUGGUGUUAUUAUAAACUUGUUUUUUAAGUGAAUAAAGGGUGAAAGAGGUUACAUUUCUACAAUCACGAUACGAAUUUAGCUUUCACUGUUGCACGGUGGAAAACCAAGGUUAGCCUGUAUAACCUUUUCCCUGGCCAGCCACAGACACACAGACAUGUGCCCUUGGGCCAGUUCUUGCAUCAUCUAUAAAUGGGACCUGAUCCAUGAUGUUGUUCAAAUGAUUAUCUCUGCCUGAUAUAAGUUUUGUUUGACUUUUAAACACGGAAACGGACUGGUACAUGUUUAAUUAUAUUUUGAAGUUCUUGAUUAUUAGUAGAUAAAACUGUAAUAGCACUAAGCUAAAGGACUGAGCCAAAUAAGGCAUGUUACUUAUCUCUGUAUCAAGAAGAGUAGGUGUAGUCCUGUUUGUUUGUAGUACAUAUUCUGUUCCUCCCUUUUCUUCGAGUUGGUUAGUUUGUGAGGUCUUUUUCUGGGCGUACUGUAGAUCAUUUUAUGAUAAAAGUUUACACAUUUGACACAUUGUGUAUACAGAGUCUCAUUGUCGAAGCCAGUUCAUCUUGUAUGCUUCUUUGGCAUUAUAUCCAAACAGGACUGUACCCAUUUGCCACAUGCAGAGCCCUUGGUAUCAAGGAAAAUAUUUUUGGUUGAUUCUGAGUCUACAUUAACAUCGCUAUGACCAUUCUAUUUAACAGCAAGAUAAAUGAACAGUUUGUUUGCUAGUAACUCUUUGUGCGUGAGUCUGUCUUUUUUCUUCUCAUACCAUGUGUGUGUUGAAUGCUGGUUUUGGUGCUCAGAGGGCGAAUUUUUGAAUGUAUUGGAAAGAAAGUAUACAAAAGGAAGUCUCCAGGUUUGUAUAGGUGCUGAAUAAACCUGAGCUGACGACUGUGCAUACAUGUUUUACUUGUUUCCAUGAGAGGCAGUUAUUGCUUGUCAUGUAACAAUAUCCACUGAAGUAUUUCCAGCGUCACAGGGUAUCAUUCCUGUGUGUGUGUUUUUUCAUUCAAAACGAACAAGGUAUCCUCCUAUUUAUUUUGUCUGUCUUUGAUCUGAUCUUUAAGUUUGUGGAAAUACUCUGGCAUUAAAGGAUUCUAUGAGGAUUCUCAGCAUUGUGAAUAAAUCAGAUUUACACUUGUUCUCGUCUUACCUUUCUUAAGAGCGUUGUGGUGAGCUGCGUCACCUUGGAUUUCUCUAUUGCCCCCGCUCCCACGCAAACACCUGCUGGACAAAUUUUUCCACCGGAAAUUGUCAUAAACAGGUGCUCAUCACUACAGGAUAGAGCUGGUCUGAUAUUUCUGUAGGAUGCAUUAAAAAAAGGCAACAUAAGCUUUAUCUAUGUAUAUAAUGUGAUUGAGCAGAACACACGAGGUUGAUUAGGAAAGAGGUUUUACCUUAUAUAUUAUAACUUCAACAGUUACCAGUAACUUCUGCGUGACUGUUAUGAAGGUUGCGCCAUGCCCCCAAAGUGCAGUCUUGUGGCGGUAAUUGGCAUUUGCACUACCUUGCUCUCCUCACUCCCCUUCAUCACAUCUUCGACUGUUAAUUCCUGCCCAGUUCCCAUUUUGUAUAUUGAUGUUGAACAUAAGAAAGUCCCUGACUCGUAGGGCCUUCAUCCAUAGAUACAUAUACUCACAUUUUUAUGGGAAAAAAUGAAUUUAUUUUACUUCCUCUUUCACAUCAUUUGAAUGUAUGCAACGUUGCUCUCCAGGGGGCAGGCCUCUGUUCAUCGAGCUAAGGAACGGCUUGUGCUAGUGCCUUGUGGCGUUUCUGUCUUUUAUGUGUGAAUAUUCAACAAAUGGGAUGGGAAGCUACAGACUUAAGACCCAAAAUAUAAUCCUGAUAGGAUCUGUCAUGUACAUGCAAAUGACGCAAUUAAUAAUAAGAUAUAUUAACUCGUCAAGUUUCUACUGUGUGUACUUCAUCCACAACCAGCACUUUCACUUUGUUGCAAGGGCCCGCCCAGUGAUAAAACGAUAACCUUCCUGAAUGAAUCAUCCAGCUGAAUCACUUUGCAAAGGCCCAUGCAGUGAUUUGUGGAUAACUGCCUAAGAUGAAUCAUCCAGCUAUGUGUCUUCAUAAAAUGUGCGCUGUCUAGAGUGAUGUGAAACACAGAGUGCUGCACGGUAAAAGGUCACAUUUUCGAUGAAUCCACCAAAUUGCAUUUGUAAGUUGAAUCACUGUUGUGAAAAUAAGGAAAGUAGCAACGUAUAUGUCAUUUACAGUCGCCGAUGACUGUUUGUCCGUUGUGUCCAAAUUCGUCAGUGUCUUUAUCAAAGGUUCUAUUUUGUCAGUAAUCGAUUCUAGUUUGUGCAAGAUAUCUGUAUUAGUGAUUAGGUCGUAAUUCUCGUUUACACAUUGUGAAUGGAUUUUAAGGCCAGGCGUGGCGCUUUCUGAACUCGCCCAGUUUCGAGUAUUAAGAUUUUUUGGUUGCUUUUGUUGUUGUUCAUUUCAGUGCAUAGAAAAUUUGUUGUUGGUUAUCCUCUAUUUCGUCUCAGUCCAACAUAUUGUCGAUGGAGAGAGGGCCCAAAACACAUCCUAAGAGCAAGCGCUGUGUACCAGAUCUUAGUGUGAUCCAUACUGUCUGCAAAAAUCCACCCGUGACUAAUGAGCGCCUACCGCUGAUGUUGCCAACGUUUCCCAUAUGUCCUGGUAUGUGUAUAUUGGAAUCGUCAAAGAUUUUGAAUUAGGGCUCUCAUGUAUGGCAACUCCACUUUCCUGGCGAACGAGAAGUCGUCUGCUGCUAUAGUAAUGAGCUGCUUGUAAGCCAUUUUUUUUCUUCGAGAACCGUGUGUGACGUCACUGGUUUUUGAGAGUGAACUUGUUGUAGUGUGCGAUGAGUCGCUUACCUAAGAUGUCUUUGCGCGGUUAUGUGGUAUGUUGCGACUAAGAUCUGAAUCAGCCAAAGUUUCCGCAAUAAACAACAUAUAGAACUGAGUUAAGAAAAUACAGUUUUCACACAACUUAAUAGAAUGGCUUGUUCGAAAUUGGCAAGCUAACCUCGCGUACUACUUUGGAUGUGGCCACAAAGUUGUAUACUUUACAUAUAACACUAGUAGUAGUGAGCCCCCCUACUAUAGGACUAGUUGUUGAGUGGACAUGUUGUUUGAGUUGAGGCUUUGUUGAGAUGACGCAUUUACGAAUUGACACUGUGUUGAGUUGAGGCAUUGCUAAGUUGACGCGUUGUUGAGUUGACGCGUUGACGUGUGGAUGAGUUUAAAAGGGGGUACAGCUAUCUGUGAAGGGGUAUUCUGCAGUUGUUCCAACUCCUGAUAAGUCUAUUGGAACAACCCUCAAAUUCAUACCAUAUAGCGCUGAGAUCAGAUACCAAAACGUUGUUGUUGCUCUCAUAGGCACCCGUAUCACUUUCCUUGACUUUUAUUUUAAUGUGUUUUCUAUAAUAAUGACUAGAGAACGCGCUUGAAGUUUUGAAAGGAGUCUUGCAACAUGUUGGACAGAAUCCUUUGUGUUCAUCAAA